AAGUCGUAACAAGGUUUCCGUAGGUGAACCUGCGGAAGGAUCAUUAACACAAUUUUACUGUGAUAAAAUCCAUUGAAUUUUCGAAUUCAAUGGUAUCCACCCCAUUAUUGACGAACUUUUGUCUAGAUGUUUUAAAAAACAUAGAGCUCGUCUUUGUGUUUUUCAAAACAUUCUAAACCUUUUUCUCUACCCCAUCACAUCUUUUAACCCCUUUUACAACAUGCCUUAGACUGAAAUGAAAAUGUCUUUAUUAUCAAAACAAUGAUAAAAAAACAACUUUUAACAACGGAUAUCUUGGCUCUC
rnacentral:misc_RNA from 1 species